rnacentral:sRNA from 1 species
GUUCUGCCCAUGCGGGGAAGGAUGAGAAGCUUCGACCAAGGUUCGACUCGAGCGCCAGCGAGAGAGCGUUGCCGCAGGCAACGACCCGAAGGGCGAAGCGCGCAGCGCUGAGUAAUCCUUCCCCCA